UGGGGAAUAUUGCACAAUGGGCGCAAGCCUGAUGCAGCCAUGCCGCGUGUGUGAAGAAGGCCUUCGGGUUGUAAAGCACUUUCAGCGAGGAGGAAGGGUAGUGUGUUAAUAGCACAUUGCAUUGACGUUACUCGCAGAAGAAGCACCGGCUAACUCCGUGCCAGCAGCCGCGGGAAUACGGAGGGUGCAAGCGUUAAUCGGAAUUACUGGGCGUAAAGCGCACGCAGGCGGUUUGUUAAGUCAGAUGUGAAAUCCCCGCGCUUAACGUGGGAACUGCAUUUGAAACUGGCAAGCUAGAGUCUUGUAGAGGGGGGUAGAAUUCCAGGUGUAGCGGUGAAAUGCGUAGAGAUCUGGAGGAAUACCGGUGGCGAAGGCGGCCCCCUGGACAAAGACUGACGCUCAGGUGCGAAAGCGUGGGGAGCAAACA
rnacentral:rRNA from 1 species